UUUGGACCGUUCUUGAGUUCAAUCCACAAUAGAGUUUUUAUGGCCCACGGAGGACGGAUCGCUGGCGGAGCCGUGCGCUUGCACUCGCGGCACGGAAAAUCACAACGGCGGCGGCGGCGACAGCGGCGGCGAGGUUUCUCGGGGCGCCCCGUGCGUCGAUGCGGCCGCACGCCUCCCCUUCCGAUUCUCGAGCGCCUGCUUCAGAAGCACUUCCGAUUCUCGAGCCACCUCUUCCAGUUGCACGCGCUCCUCCUCUGCCCUCCGCCGAUCCCCAAUGCUCCGCCGCCGCCACGGCGCCACCAGCGCCUUCCCUAUGCCUGGCCCACGCGCACUUUUGCGUCCUCUCCCGCCCCGGGCUCGGCCACUGCCGCGGGGGCGCUCGCUCCACGCGCGGUGCCUCCACGGAGAUGUUGAGCUUGCUGUAGUGAUUGUGCGGAAACUGAUGGCUCUUGACCCCCAGCAAUCACGACGCUGGGGCGAGGUGAUGCUGGAGGUUGGAAUCAAGAAGACGACGGCAGCGCAGUGCGCAGAGUAGUGUUGUGUUUUACACUGCUGCCAUCCCUUCGUAACUGUUCGUAAGUGCUUCUGAAGAAAAGGAGAGAAUUACACUGCUACAUUUAGAUAACAAAGAAUCAAACUGGCAUUCGGUGGAUCAGAUUGCCUGCAGGCAUGAGUGGAUUGGAUCAUUGGAUGCCAUCAUGCCAAAUGGUGUGCUAUCUGCCUUCACCGUCUAAAGCAGACAGAGUCAGAUGCGAUCGGAGGUACCUUGAUGUAGGCAUGAGUUCCAACUCCAAGCAUUGCUACUCUAGUUCAGGUAGAAGCCAACCAGAGUAUAUUGAGGGAUUUGACAUCACCAUGGAGAAUUGUACGAGAAGUUGAUGAAUGAAUAUAAGCAAGAGCUUCUGCUGAUUGUGUAGCAAUCUUCAACCUAAGAUCCAAUGGGGCUGAUAAUCUUUGGUCAUUUUCAUGAAGGAACUCAAAGAGGGUACCACUGGAAAUGAACUCAUACACCAACAUCGGUACAUCUACCUCCAAGCAACACCCAAGUAACUUGACAAUGUUCCUGUGAUUGAUUUGUGACAAUAUUAUUAUCUCGUUCACAAAUUCUUCUCGGCAGUCAUCAUCUAUUACUUUGGACUUCUUUAUGGCAACUUCUUUUCCAUCAUCUAAAAUUCCUCUAUAGACUGUUCCAUGACCACCACAUCCAAGAACACGAUUGUCGCUAUAGUUCUCUGUGGCUUGCUUAAUCUCUGUCUCAGUAAGUAUAAGAAUAGUAUCAACUUGUCUUGAUCUCAUUUCGUCAUAUAACCUCAGGCCACCAUUUUGUUUGAAGUAUUCAUCCUUCUCCUUCAUGUGCUUUCUCCGUUGUAAUUUCAUAACUAACAAGCAUGUCACAGACGUCACCACAAGUGCAGAAACACAGAGGCCUGCACAACCACUUUAUUUUAGAUUCAACGCAUCAAAAGCCUAGAAAGGGACCUGCUAUGGCCUUAGAGUUAUAAACUUUGCUUUCAGAGGCUUUUUAGAUUCUUACCUAUAAUCACUUGUUCAGACUGCCUAAGAACAGGCUGGCAUCCAGAAUUUCUACCAUCUGAUUUUGUUCCUAUCCUGCAUCUGCAUACAUAACUGCCUGGAGUAUUGAUACAGACCCCUUUUUUGCAUGGAUAUAAUGCACUGUACUUCGGGUCUUGAUUACGCAUCUCGCACUCAUUUAUAUCUGAAGAGAAUUAAAAUGGAUUAACAUAUAGUGACAAAAAAGGGGGUCAAAGGAUGAGUUACUUCAAUCAAUAUCGUAAAGAUAUGCAGAAAAGCAAAAGAAAACUUGAGUUGUAUUGGUUGGUUAAACAUGUUUCUGUAUUUUGUGAUGUUGAUGUCCAAAACCUAGUUUACAGCAACUUUGUUUUAAUAAAUCAUACCUUGGCAGCCUUCACGAAGAUAAGGAUUUCCCUUGUAACCUUUGGAGCAGCUACACAGGAGCCAUUUCUAAUGGCCCAAUCACUAAUGACCGGUACACCUCUACUGGCUCUUUCGUUUACGAACCCAAGGUGCCCAACAAGGUCUUGUCUCCUGAAGCUGUACCACCCAACCUGGACAAGCAUCGCGUAUAUGCAUGGGUUGAAGCUCGGUAACAAGGUAACAUUCGCCACUGCCGCCUGGAAGGCAGUAAGGUUGGGUGAGAUGGCGGUUUCACAGCACCCCUUCCCACUGCACGGUGCUCCAUCUGAUGUCUGGUUGAUGCCCUCGCAGUAUGAGAAGCAUCCAGCCACAGAAGGUUCAGGGUCACUGGCUCCGAUGAGCCCCAGGGCGCUGCAGCCAAUGGCCAUGAAGCGGUUUCGUGUGCUUGAGAGGAUGAGUGGUGUGCCUUCCAGGCUAAACUCGCCGGUGUAGUUGUCCAGAGUAUUGGUGUUUGGCUCGAAGCAGCUAUAGCCGACGGGGGCAUAGAUGCUCACCUCGCCACGCUCCAGGGAGAUGUCGAUGACCUCCAUUGGUGUUGAAGUGUUGCUGGCAGGGGCAUAGAUCAUAGGCCGUGGUGGCUGGAAGGUGUUGUUGCAGGUCACGGCAAAGCUGGGGUUCCGACUUGUCGCUGCACAGCCAUCGCCUAUGCCGAAGGGGUAAGGGAUGGUCACGUCGCCACACUUGUCGGGACACCCUGGCAGUGAUAGAGCAGGCUCAGAUGGAGUGGCUGAUGACAGCGCUGCUGCCUUCACUGGGGAGAUGAUGAGCAUCAGGAGUACUACUAAUGCUUCUUUCAUGGCUAAUAAUGAGUUGAGUUCUUGGAAACUUCAAAAUCAAAGGGUUGGGUCUGCUUCAUGGUAAGUCGUGUGGCCCCUUAUAGAUUGCCGGAAUCUGGAGAAGGCAGCAUCCGGUUUUGAGGUUUAUUUAUUCUGAGAAAGCGAUAGUCCUUGUUUUCUUACCUCAUUUAUAUAUGAUCAACUAUAUAUGAAGCGUGGUGGAUCUUGUUGAGUAGUUGGUACAGUUUGUGAAACCUUGCUCUGGACUGACAAACUAGAGGAAGAACACACAGUUUUGGAUCUGCUUGACGAGAGAUUUAUAUUUAGACGGGAGGCAAGAAAUUUGUAGUGUUUUGGUGGGACAUUUUUCUAUUACAUAUUUAUCCUUUGUACCGUAUUGUACGAGCAUGUUCGCUUGGGCCACAUCGAAUCUUGUGGCACAUGCAUGAAACAUUAAAUAUAGACGAAAACAAGACGAAUCUUUUAA